rnacentral:rRNA from 1 species
GAUGAACGCUGGCGGCGUGCCUAACACAUGCAAGUCGAGCGAGAAACCUGCAAUUGAAACUUCGGUAGAUUUUGCGGGCGGAAAGCGGCGGACGGGUGAGUAACGCGUAGGCAACCUGCCCUUUGCAGAGGGAUAGCAACGGGAAACUGUUAUUAAAACCUCAUAAUACAGACAUGUCAAAUGACAAGACGGCCAAAGAUUUAUCGGCAAAGGAUGGGCCUGCGUCUGAUUAGUUCGUUGGUAGGGUAACGGCCUACCAAGGAAGCGAUCAGUAGCCAACCUGAGAGGGUGAUCGGCCACAUUGGAACUGAGACACGAUCCAAACUCCUACGGGAGGCAGCAGUGGGGAAUAUUGCACAAUGGGCGAAAGCCUGAUGCAGCAACGCCGCGUGAAGGAUGAAGGCCUUUGGGUCGUAAACUUCUGUCCUUGGGGAAGAAAAAAAUGACGGUACCCCUGGAGGAAGUCCCGGCUAACUACGUGCCAGCCGCCGCCGUAAGAC